UGGCUCAGUUGGUAGAGCAUGGGACUCUUAAUUUCAGGGUUGUGAGUUCAAGCCUCAU
rnacentral:tRNA from 1 species